CUUCCCAGGCACAACCAGUUCCUGCUGACUUCAAAACAGACCCUUGGCUCCACAAAGCUCAGUCAGGCUGGUGGCACCUCCAAAACCCCUUUUUAAAAGGGUAAAAACCACUUCACAGAAGCUGUGAGAAUGGAAUAAUAAAAAUGAGAAAACUACCUUCUAAGCACAAAGGUUAUUCCUGCUUCCAGACUGAAGCAGCUUAUGAAGGACUACAUCCUCCAUGUUGAAGUGGGGAAAAUUAGGAGGAGGAAGGGCAGAGAGACAAAGUGGGAUAAGCUGCCUGCAGCCCCAUUUCUCAAAAGCCAUUCCACUUGCCAGAUGGAAGAGAAGGAAGAAGAGUCACAAGCAAUGGAGUUAAGCUGAGCCUGAGAAAAAGGAAAGGUAUGAAACUUAGGAAGAACUGCAACUGUUACAAUAUUCCAAAUCCCCUGUGGAUGUGAGUGGAUAGAGCCUUAGGGAGAAUUAUAGAAAGGUUUGGAGUGGAAGACAUCUUCUGAAAGAUAAUUGAGUUGAACCUCACAUCAUCUAGUCCAACAAGGUGCAGUCCCAUGAACCUGUCACCUCAUCCUUAUACAGUCUCCUUGUUCCUGACCUCUCCUCCCACGAGAAGUGUCUUUGGCAUGCCCAGACUGCCCUGAGGGAUCAGACAUAAGCAGAACGUGCUCUGCCAAUGUUGAUAAACCUCAAUCUUUGAAAAACAACACCUUCAUAUGCCACAACAGAGAUAUUUGUUUCAUUUGAAUUGGGAAAAAACUGGCAGAGUUGCUAGGAUUUCAACCUUCGCAUGAAAGAAAUGCAAGAUGAGAGGACAUCAGAACUCAGCAUUUUCCCAGGCCUCAAAAACCUAUGGUUUACAUUGGCUACUGAUAGUACCCCUUUGGACCAAGAAGCAAAUCACAUAAAGGUGGUGUUGAACUUAUCACAAUAAUGCUUUAUAAGGGUGGCCUUUGAGCCACAAAGUAGCUUCAAGGCCACAAACAUCCCUCAGGACACAGUGUGUCUCUUGCAGCUGCCUAAAAGGAUAUGUUUGAACAUCCACAUGCUGACUUUAUGUGGUAACUCCUCUUUGGUUGUGACUGUCCUUUGCUCUUUGCCCACAGCCUUGCAGCACGUGGCACCAGGCUUCUGUGGGGGCUGCCCAGCUGUGCAAACACACCCGUGGGCAGCAGCACCAGCUCACACACCGGUGCCCCUUGGCUCCCUCUACCACUCUGGUACUUCAGCACUGGUGAAUGAUCUCACUUCUCUCUUUUCUU